UCUGUGUGUACUAACAAGUGGAAGGGAAGGUGUGUCGUCCUCCUAAUUACAGCUUAAAAUACUUCAUAUACUAAUAUGCUGGGUCUUCCUAAUGUUUCUAUUGGUGUGCAGCAUCUUGUCGGAGUAGAAAGCUCAUUGCGUAUAACCUCAAAAAACAUGGCCUCUGAAAUAUCUUUAUCAUUCUGGAAUGGAAUGUUCAUCGUGAAUAAACAAGGAAUAACAAGGAUUCUGCUUUAUAAAAGAAGAAUCUUCAUUAUUCUGGGGUAGGAUGCUCAUCGUGUAAGGAUCAACAAAGACUUGAAAUCAUCUUUGCAACUCUUUCGCGAAGCGAAGGAUGAAUCGAACGUUGCAUCGAAUAUUAAAAUAAAAAGGAAACGAUCGCGAAGUAGAUGCAGUGUUUGUACGUAUGUUAGAUUACAAUUUUUUCGCGACACGCGAUAUAAAUUAAUUUUUAAGAAAUGUGUACUUGUAUGGGCUGCGUGCAAUGCAGUCAGUUUUAGAGUCAGUGUCUUCUUCGUACAAAGUUUUGUUUUUUCUUUUUAUAGAGUGUAUUUGUAUGUAAUAGUAGAGUUUCGCGAAUUAAAUUCAGUGUCGUCUCGUAAUUAGUAAAUACUUAUCGCGUAUUAGAAUCAGUGCAGCAUCACAAGAUAGGUUUAUCUUACAACAAUUUCAACGUUCGUUGGAUAUCUCAUUUCUUUGACCUACAGGAUGACCUACAGGGCGAGUGUUUUGGAGCCAUCAGAGAACUUCAUAAGUAGUAUGUGAAAAAAACAAAAUUUCAUUGAUACGCGUUAUAUUUUCUACUACAGACCUACUCUAUUUUCUUUUUUUUUUUUUUGUAUUAAAGCGUUUAAGCGACUGUUUAUAUAUUUGCGUUCUCACGUAUUAUUUAUUAGCG